ensembl:lncRNA
GCCGGACUGGCAGGAAAGUAGCUGGAUGUCGCAGAAAAGCGUCCGUCCGGAAGAUGAGAGGAGAGAGCUGAGGACCUGGAUGAGAAGGAAACAGAGGGAAGGACUGGCUGUUUAUCAAAAAACACAGAGAAAGCCUGAGGGAGAGGGAGCGCAAACCCUUUUCUACCUCUGGGGCAAAGGUGAGAUAUGUUGUGACCCUUUCACUAGAAAUGAUAUUCCAUGGCAUGUUGUUUUAGUAAAUAUUAUUUUCCCCUUUUUAGAAAUCAACAGACAAGAAUCAAGCAUCUACUUGGGGAGCCAGGGAGGAAAAGAAAAAGUAUGUACUCGUUUACGUUGUCCUUGGACGUGAAACAUGCAUUUUUUAUAUGCAUACCUGUUAUUUCCAUAUGAUUGAAUAGGUUGAUGCUUCUGGAGCAAUACGAUCAGAGGACCCGUGAAGCCUGUUCUUUGGUCAGGGACUCUCCCAGCACUCGUCCAACCCUACGUACGUCUGUACAGACGAAAGGCUCAUCGGUGCCCUUAACUACACGACCCACUUCCGCUCCACCCUCCGGUGGCACUCACAGGGCACAUAGGGAAUCUGCCAAAUCUGAAAUAAGACCUAAGUCGGGACCAGCUCAACCUCACCUUGCUGCAUGGACUGUUAAGGUGCAGAGACGGCCCUCAGAGGAUCUCGGCAAGAGACUGGGACUACAUAGACCAGUGACCUCCCUGCCAAGGGACCGUCUGUCUCAGGUGACCCGGCGCGGCAUGCUCGCGCACACAAAGAGCCACACUAAACUGCACACGGCCAGCCAGAGUGAGGAACGGCACGUGGGACGCCAGAGAGAGACAGGGGGGAACAAAGGUCCUUCAGGUUGGACUGUUGCCCAAAGAGGGAUCCUAAGGGAGCAUGCGAGGAUGCAAGAGAGAGAAGAGGUGAACCUUCGGGGGGGGCCACUUCAGAAUUGA